GGACGUGUGCCCGAGCAUUCAAGGAUUACUUUGAUAGAGUAAAAUACAGGGAAUAACCUCCCUCACUUCCU
rnacentral:tRNA from 1 species